rnacentral:rRNA from 1 species
CCCUAAUCUAUCCCCCUCUCCUCCUGAUCCCCAUCUCUUCCUAUGUGCCGUCGCCACACACAGCCAGCGCAAGGAGGCCGCGCCCGUGCCCGAACCCUCUCCUCUUGCUAGAUCCCCUCAACCUCUUCCUCUGGCCAUGGCGCUCGUGCCCUAUCUCGCACCCUCGGACCGUUCCGAUCCGGCACCACCCCGGCAUGCUCCGAUGACCCGAUCAUCACGUCGCCACGGCCCACCUCUGCUCUGCCCCCUCCUCUGCUCCGCCUCCAUUGUGCCGAGGCCCCGCCUCAGUUUCCGACUGCCGCAAGCGAGCCGCUCCAUCGGAGCCACGUCCGCUGCGCCAAGCCCCUGCCUGCUUCACCUCCUGUCGUCAAGCGUAGAAUGACGAGUGUGGGCCUCGUCUAGCCUCGCCGUCCCCGACCUCUUUUCCGGCUGGAUCCGUUCCACCGCCGUGGUUCCCCGGCGCCCCGGACCUUCCCUGCUUCGCCAAGUUCACCGCUGUCGAGCCUCUUGCCUUGGCCUCGCGACCCCGCGCCUCCCCCUUGCAGCACCCGCAAGCCACUAGGAGGCGUUCUGCCGUGCGGCACACGAGCUCCUCCAGUCUCGCCAAUUGCCUUCCCACCACCUUCGCGCCUGGAUCCAUCAUGCCUCCCGGCAUCGUCCAGACCUCUUGUCCCCGUCGUCGCCGUUGACUCCUCAAGCUGUCCCUGUUAGCCUCAGCUUCAAGACCAUAACAACGUGGCCAGAACCCCACCAAGUGGUUGCCUGGUGCACCUGCGAUGUGUUGCGUGGACGCAUUCAAAACCGGAUUUGAACCUCAAGCUCCAAGUACCCCGAGGACCCCGGAUUUGUUAAGUUCCACUUCAACAAGUGUACCCCUACGUCUUGGAUUCGCCAGGUGAUACGUCUCCGUCGUAUCUAUAAUUUUUGAUUGUUCCAUGCCAAUAUUCUACAACUUUCAUAUACUUUUGGCAACUUUUUAUACUAUCUUUGGGACUAACAUAUUGAUCCAGUGCCUAGUGCCAGUUCCUGUUUGUUGCAUGUUUUUUGUUUCGCAGAAUAUCCAUAUCAAACGGAGUCCAAACGGGAUAAAAAUUGACGGAGAUUUUUUUUGGAAUAUAUAUAAUUUUUGGGAAGAAAAAUCCACGCGAGAUGAUGCCCGAGGGGGCCACGAGGCAGGGGGGCACGCCCCUGACCCUCGUGGCCACCCCGUAAGGAUGUUGAUGCCCUUCUUUCGCCGCAAGAAAGCUAAUAUCCAGAUAGACAUCGUGUUAAAAUUUCAGCCCAAUCGGAGGGAAUAUAUAAAACAGUGAAAGGGUAGAAUCUGAGAACGCAGAAACAGAGAGAGACAGAGAGACAAAUCCAAUCUCGGAGGGGCUCUCGCCCCUCCCACGCCAUGGAGGCCAAGGACUAGAGGGGAAACCCUUCUCCCAUCUAGGUAGGAGGUCAAGGAAGAAGAAGAUGAAGGGGCCCCCUCUCCCCUUCUCUUCCGGUGGUGCUGGAACGCUGCCGUGGCCAUCAUCAUCACCGCAAUCUUCAUCAACAACUUCACCACCAUCAUCACCAACUCUUCCCCCCUCUAUGCAGCGGUGUAACCUCUCUCUUACCCGCUGUAAUCUCUACUUAAACAUGGUGCUCAAUUCUAUAUAUUAAUUCCCAAUGAUGUAUGGCUAUCCUAUGAUGUUUGAGUAGAUCCGUUUUGUCC